ensembl:lncRNA
AUAUAUAUAAUUCAGGUAAACAUUGGUCCACAUUUUUGUCAUUACAUGAGGAGAAAUGUGGCUCAAUAAACCUGAAUUCAUUUCUUAUGUGUCUGCCUGCAACUUUCUUAGCCUUGAGUUUUCAAAAUUUUUAUUCUGUGCAUGUGGUUACCCAUUUAGUGCAUCAAGUGAUCCAAUGAAUGUCACCCAAAAACGAAAAUUUGCUGAAAUUGUACUCAUCCAUGGUGUAGAUGUGUUUGUUUCUUCAUCAGAUUUGGAGAAAUGUAGCAUUACAGCUCUUGCUCAUCAACGAAAUAUUAUGGAUAGAGCUAUCAUAUUUUCGUCAGAGGCAGUUAAAAAUGUCUUGAUGAAAUUUGACUCUUACAAACCUGCAAUUUUUCUCUUCACAAGACAUUAAUUGAUGGACUGGAGUGGAUUACUUGGAUAAUUGUGUUUUUUAUCAUUCAGACCAUCAUUCUGACGGCACCCAUUCACUGCAGAGUGAGUGAGCUAAAUUUCUCCGAAUCCAUUCCGAUGAAGAAACAAAUUUUAGUUUGAACUGUUUCAACAUCGAGUAAAAUUAGAAAACUGAGUUCACUUGUGAUUAUUUUUGUAAGGUGUUGUGUACAGUUGUUGUUGUAAGUUUAUACACCCCUUGCAGAACCUGCCACAUGCUUCUAAUUGUUUCUAAUACAAAUUAAAUUACUUCACACUACCACAAAUAAGCUAUUUCACAACACAGAUAUCGAGUCCACAAGACAAAAUAAUAACAGAAUUUAAACAAUGAAGUAGUUAAAAACCUGGAUUACGAUGAGCAGUUAUAAUGGCCAUUGCUCUUCAGGAAAAUCCUCCUGGUCCCAUUUCCAUUGUUUUUCCAGCAUCUUCUGCAUAUUUGAUCCCUUUCAAACAAGGAUUAUAAAUAACUGAAAUCAGGUUUUUCACACAGUUGUGAGACUCAGUUAUUCGGUUAUUUAUCCUUGUGUACAAUAUUCAAACAUCUGUUAUGUGAAAUAGGUUAUUUAAGGCAGUACCCCCCCCCCUCCUCUUUUUUAAUUAUUUCUGUUUCUG